UUUCCGUAGGUGAACCUGCGGAAGGAUCAUUACAAUUCAGUAGCUUGCUACUGUCAGGAGGUGCUGUCAGUCCGCAUAGUUUCAUUACUGAUGAGCGGCAGGCCCUCUGUCUGUACCCUUGUCUUUUGCGCACCCAUGUUUCCUCGGCGGGCAUGCCCGCCGGUUGGACAAAACUAUAACCUUUUUUUAAUUUUCAAUCAGCGUCUGAAAAAACUUAAUAAUUACAACUUUCAACAACGGAUCUCUUGGUUCUG
rnacentral:misc_RNA from 1 species